AUUGAACGCUGGCGGAAUGCUUUACACAUGCAAGUCGAACGGCAGCACGGGGCAACCUGGUGGCGAGUGGCGAACGGGUGAGUAAUGCAUCGGAACGUACCCAGUAGUGGGGGAUAGCCCGGCGAAAGCCGGAUUAAUACCGCAUAUUUCCUGAGGGAGAAAGCGGGGGGACCUUCGGGCCUCGCGCUACUGGAGCGGCUGAUGUCGGAGUUAGCUAGUUGGUGAGGUAAAGGCUCACCAAGGCGACGAUCCGUAGCUGGUCUGAGAGGAUGAUCAGCCACACUGGGACUGAGACACGGCCCAGACUCCUACGGGAGGCAGCAGUGGGGAAUUUUGGACAAUGGGGGCAACCCUGAUCCAGCCAUGCCGCGUGAGUGAAGAAGGCCUCGG
rnacentral:rRNA from 1 species